UUGUAUCAGAGUGGAGGAGGAAGGCUUGUGAACUAUACUGCCAUUGUAUCAGAGUGGAGGGAGGCUUGUGAACUAUACUGCCUUUGUAUCAGAGUGGUGGAGGGAGGCUUGUGAACUAUACUGCCUUUGUAUCAGAGUGGAGGAGGGAGGCUUGUGAACUAUACUGCCUUUGUAUCAGAGUGGAGGAGGGAGGCUUGUGAACUAUACUGCCUUUGUAUCAGAGUGGAGGAGGAAGGCUUGUGAACUAUACUGCCUUUGUAUCAGAGUGGAGGAGGGAGGCUUGUGAACUAUACUGCCUUUGUAUCAGAGUGGUGGAGGAAGGCUUGUGAACUAUACUGCCAUUGUAUCAGAGUGGAGGAGGGAGGCUUGUGAACUAUACUGCCUUUGUAUCAGAGUGGAGGGAGGCUUGUGAACUAUACUGCCUUUGUAUCAGAGUGGAGGGAGGCUUGUGAACUAUACUGCCGUUGUAUCAGAGUGGAGGAGGGAGGCUUGUGAACUAUACUGCCUUUGUAUCAGAGUGGAGGGAGGCUUGUGAACUAUACUGCCGUUGUAUCAGAGUGGAGGAGGGAGGCUUGUGAACUAUACUGCCUUUGUAUCAGAGUGGAGGAGGGAGGCUUGUGAACUAUACUGCCGUUGUAUCAGAGUGGAGGGAGGCUUGUGAACUAUACUGCCGUUGUAUCAGAGUGGAGGAGGGAGGCUUGUGAACUAUACUGCCGUUGUAUCAGAGUGGAGGAGGGAGGCUUGUGAACUAUACUGCCGUUGUAUCAGAGUGGAGGAGGAAGGCUUGUGAACUAUACUGCCGUUGUAUCAGAGUGGAGGAGGGAGGCUUGUGAACUAUACUGCCGUUGUAUCAGAGUGGAGGAGGGAGGCUUGUGAACUAUACUGCCGUUGUAUCAGAGUGGAGGAGGGAGGCUUGUGAACUAUACUGCCUUUGUAUCAGAGUGGAGGAGGGAGGCUUGUGAACUAUACUGCCUUUGUAUCAGAGUGGAGGAGGGAGGCUUGUGAACUAUACUGCCGUUGUAUCAGAGUGGAGGAGGGAGGCUUGUGAACUAUACUGCCUUUGUAUCAGAGUGGAGGAGGGAGGCUUGUGAACUAUACUGCCGUUGUAUCAGAGUGGAGGAGGAAGGCUUGUGAACUAUACUGCCGUUGUAUCAGAGUGGAGGAGGGAGGCUUGUGAACUAUACUGCCGUUGUAUCAGAGUGGAGGAGGGAGGCUUGUGAACUAUACUGCCGUUGUAUCAGAGUGGAGGAGGGAGGCUUGUGAACUAUACUGCCUUUGUAUCAGAGUGGAGGAGGAAGGCUUGUGAACUAUACUGCCGUUGUAUCAGAGUGGAGGAGGGAGGCUUGUGAACUAUACUGCCUUUGUAUCAGAGUGGAGGAGGAAGGCUUGUGAACUAUACUGCCGUUGUAUCAGAGUGGAGGAGGGAGGCUUGUGAACUAUACUGCCUUUGUAUCAGAGUGGAGGAGGGAGGCUUGUGAACUAUACUGCCGUUGUAUCAGAGUGGAGGAGGGACAGUUUAAAACCUAUGACGUCACUUUUAGUUUGUAAACUGUAGUACCAUGAUCAGUACUCUCGAGAAUAAACGCUAUUGAUUGAUUUUGAGACUGGCCUCUGUCCAUUUUAUGUAAAUAAGUAUCUUACAAAUUCUUAGGAAUGGGCAGAGUGUUUAAUUGAAUUGGUUAAAUAAACGUAUAGGAAUAUAAUUCCUUUAACAUGAUCCUGGGACACACCCGGGCCCGCCCCUUGUCACUGACGACUCUCCUGGCUCCGCCCACCGGCAUCCUAAUAAGGAAAACGAGAGCAGAGAGAAAGAAUACAGCAAACAGAGUGGGAGGGUCGUCACAGAUGUCACCCACCUCUACCAUGUCACUCUGAGCUCUAUGUCAGCCUGUUGCUCUGUCAGCCUGCUGCUCUGUCAGCCUGUUGCUCUGUCAGCCUGCUGCUCUGUCAGCCUGUUGCUCUGUCAGCCUGCUGCUCUGUCAGCCUGCUGCUCUGUCAGCCUGCUGCUCUGUCAGCCUGUUGCUCUGUCAGCCUGUUGCUCUGUCAGCCUGCUGCUCUGUCAGCCUGUUGCUCUGUCAGCCUGCUGCUCUGUCAGCCUGCUGCUCUGUCAGCCUGCUGCUCUGUCAGCCUGCUGCUCUGUCAGCCUGUUGCUCUGUCAGCCUGCUGCUCUGUCAGCCUGUUGCUCUGUCAGCCUGUUGCUCUGUCAGCCUGUUGCUCUGUCAGCCUGCUGCUCUGUCAGCCUGUUGCUCUGUCAGCCUGUUGCUCUGUCAGCCUGUUGCUCUGUCAGCCUGUUGCUCUGUCCCCAUAUAUACAGGGUUGGAACUAAGCAUUGUAACUCUGCCUAACAACACAUUUGUACAUACCAACGUCUGGCAUUAUUACAGUUCUAUUUAUUUCAGAUGUCUUUAUGUCAUGUUUAAAAUGAAGAACCUGAGUUUUUACUAUCGUACAUCAGUCCAAGAUCACAUGUCAUGAUGUACAAUUAGUUGUCCAGUCUGUUCGAUAAAAUGAAAUAAAGAUAUUGAAAAA